UACAGAGGGUGCAAGCGUUGUUCGGAAUUAUUGGGCGUAAAGAGCUCGUAGGCGGUUUGUUGCGUCGGCUGUGAAAUCCCGAGGCUCAACCUCGGGUCUGCAGUCGAUACGAGCAAACUAGAGUGUUGCAGGGGAGACUGGAAUUCCUGGUGUAGCGGUGAAAUGCGCAGAUAUCAGGAGGAACACCGGUGGCGAAGGCGGGUCUCUGGGCAACAACUGACGCUGAGGAGCGAAAGCGUGGGGAGCAAACAGG
rnacentral:rRNA from 1 species